rnacentral:rRNA from 1 species
UACGUAGGGUGCGAGCGUUGCCCGGAUUUAUUGGGCGUAAAGGGCGCGUAGGCGGCCACGCACGUCCGUUGUGAAAUCGCCCGGCUCAACUGGGCGGGGUCAGCGGAUACGGUGUGGCUAGAGCAAGCUAGGGGGCAAUGGAAUUCCCGGUGUAGUGGUGGAAUGCGUAGAUAUCGGGAGGAACACCAGUGGCGAAGGCGGUUGCCUGGAGCUUUGCUGACGCUGAUGCGCGAAAGCGUGGGGAGCGAGCCGG